AGGUGGGAGGAUCGCUUGAGCCUGGGAGGUGGAGGUUGCAGUGAGCUGAGAUCACGCCACUGCACUGCAGCCUGGG
rnacentral:miRNA from 1 species